rnacentral:pre_miRNA from 1 species
UUUCAAAGAGGCAGUGCAGCAUGGAGCCCGGGGUCAGCGGGGGAUUCCGAGUCCCUUGCUGACCCCAGGCUCCAUGCUGAGCUGCCGCUUUGAAA